rnacentral:lncRNA from 1 species
CUCCACUAGCUCGGUGAGGUACAUACUAUGCCCAUUUAACAGAUGAGGAAACAGAUGGUCAGAGAGCUCAGAUAAGAAGCCCAGGGUCUCACCAUGUAGAAUCUGGAUGCAGGGCCAAGUUGUCUUGGAACUGGAAUUUGGAACACCUGACAUGCUUGGUUCUUUAUUUCCUGCUGUUUCCUGAGGGAACUGACCUGCCCAAGCAGGACCAAAAGGCUACCCCAUGAAGAAAAGCUCUGCUACUGGAUCAUUGUUCUCAUCUCUCUCUGGGUCUCUGCUCAGUGGAGGCAGAAAAGAUGCUUUUCCAUUUCUAUUGCCUGUCUUCCUCUCCAUUCACAUGGUCAUAUUCACAAGUUCUGAAGACUAAGUCAUGGACAGAUCUCAUUGGAAACCAUCAUUCAACCCACUGCAAAGCUUUAGCCAAUUCCCAGCUAUGAAUUCUUCCAAGAUGAAAGGAUACCGAGCUCAA